UACGAAGGGGGCUAGCGUUGUUCGGAAUUACUGGGCGUAAAGCGCGCGUAGGCGGACUGGUCAGUCAGGGGUGAAAUCCCGAGGCUUAACCUCGGAACUGCCUUUGAUACUGCCAGUCUCGAGUCCGGAAGAGGUGAGUGGAAUUCCUAGUGUAGAGGUGAAAUUCGUAGAUAUUAGGAAGAACACCGGUGGCGAAGGCGGCUCACUGGUCCGGUACUGACGCUGAGGCGCGAAAGCGUGGGGAGCAAACAGG
rnacentral:rRNA from 1 species